rnacentral:misc_RNA from 1 species
AAGUCGUAACAAGGUUUCCGUAGGUGAACCUGCGGAAGGAUCAUUAACACGUAUCCAACGUUAAACAACCCUGUGAACUUUCAGCCUGCUCUUGUAACCAUGAGGAACAGCAAUCCCGGUAAAUCAUUGCAAACAGUUUUGAUUCGGGACCUCUGUCCAAAAGGUGUUACAAUUGAGCGGUAGAGGCAGUGGCAUGGCUUCCCCAAGCAGUUAGUGAAUGACAGUGUCACUGAUUGUGUAAGGAUAACGCCUCACGGUUGCCAGAGGUCGAUCACCACCACGCCCCUUAAUCACCCCAAUUUGAAAUUGCUCCUACCUGGUGGUAACGCACUGGGUCAAAAAAACCGAACAACUGUUAACAAUGGAUAUCUUGGUUCUC